rnacentral:rRNA from 1 species
GACGAACGCUGGCGGCGUGCUUAACACAUGCAAGUCGAACGGUAAGGCCCUUCGGGGUACACGAGUGGCGAACGGGUGAGUAACACGUGGGUGAUCUGCCCUGCACUUCGGGAUAAGCCUGGGAAACUGGGUCUAAUACCGGAUAGGACUCCGGACUGCAUGGUCUGGGGUGGAAAGCUUUUGCGGUGUGGGAUGGGCCCGCGGCCUAUCAGCUUGUUGGUGGGGUGGUAGCCUACCAAGGCGACGACGGGUAGCCGGCCUGAGAGGGUGACCGGCCACACUGGGACUGAGAUACGGCCCAGAGUCCUACGGGAGGCAGCAGUGGGGAAUAUUGCACAAUGGGCGCAAGCCUGAUGCAGCGACGCCGCGUGAGGGAUGACGGCCUUCGGGUUGUAAACCUCUUUCAGCAUCGACGAAGCGAAAGUGACGGUAGGUGCAGAAGAAGGACCGGCCAACCACGUGCCAGCCGCCGCCGUAA